UACGAAGGGGGCUAGCGUUGCUCGGAAUUACUGGGCGUAAAGCGUGCGCAGACGGUUGCGUAAGUCAGAUGUAAAAGCCCCGGGCUCAACCUGGGAAUUGCAUUUGAGACUGCGUAGCUAGGGUGCGGAAGAGGGAAGCGGAAUUUCCGGUGUAGCGGUGAAAUGCGUAGAUAUCGGAAGGAACACCAGUGGCGAAAGCGGCUUCCUGGUCCAGCACCGACGUUCAGGCACGAAAGCGUGGGGAGCAAACAGG
rnacentral:rRNA from 1 species